rnacentral:lncRNA from 1 species
CGGCCGCGUGGCCCGGCGGAGCCCCGAGACCACCCCCGGGCGGGGCGCCGCCGCGAUGUCGGUGGCUGGGCUCAAGAAGCAGUUCCACAAAGCCAGCCAGCUGUUUAGUGAAAAAAUAAGUGGUGCAGAAGGAACGAAGCUAGAUGAAGAGUUUCUGGAUAUGGAAAAGAAAAUAGAUAUUACCAGUAAAGCUGUUGCAGAAAUUCUUUCAAAAGCCACAGAGUAUCUCCAGCCCAAUCCAGCACCACCUGAGAAAGCUAGAAGGCCGCCGUCUGGACUAUGAUUAUAAAAAGAAGCGGGUGGGUAAGAUCCCCGAGGAAGAAAUCAGACAAGCAGUAGAAAAGUUUGAAGAGUCAAAGGAGUUGGCCGAAAGAAGCAUGUUUAAUUUUUUAGAAAAUGACGU